rnacentral:rRNA from 1 species
UGAGGAAUUUUGCGCAAUGGCCGCAAGGCUGACGCAGCAACGCCGCGUGGGUGAAGAAGGCCUUCGGGUCGUAAAGCCCUGUCAGGUGGGAAGAAAGGCUUUAGGUCGAAGAGACUGGGGACUUGACGGUACCACCAGAGGAAGCACCGGCUAACUCCGUGCCAGCAGCCGCGGUAAUACGGAGGGUGCGAGCGUUAUUCGGAAUUACUGGGCGUAAAGCGCGUGCAGGCGGUUUGACAAGUCUGAUGUGAAAGCCCCGGGCUUAACCUGGGAAGAGCAUUGGAAACUGUUGGACUUGAGUACUGGAGAGGAAGGGGGAAUUCCCGGUGUAGAGGUGAAAUUCGUAGAGAUCGGGAGGAAUACCAGUGGCGAAGGCGCCCUUCUGGACGGCUACUGACGCUGAGACGCGAAAGCGUGGGGAGCAAACA